AGAAGAACAUUUCAAUCCCGAGUGCCUAUCAGCACUCAGGAUUACCAAAUUCAUUAAGCAAUCCAAGCUACAACAACCAGGGCAUGCUAUCUAUGCAGAGGUCACAAGACAAAAGUACACAGUACACAAAAUCCUACGGAUCUUAACUCAUCACUGUUGUGGCUGUCCUUCACCUGAUUCACGUUUUGAUGCUUCCUUGAUCUCAUCACCAGCUUCGUCCGG
rnacentral:misc_RNA from 1 species